rnacentral:rRNA from 1 species
GAUGAACGCUGGCGGCGUGCUUAACACAUGCAAGUCGAACGGAAAGGCUCCUGCUUGCAGGGGUACUCGAGUGGCGAACGGGUGAGUAACACGUGGGUGAGCUGCCCUGCACUUCGGGAUAAGCCUGGGAAACUGGGUCUAAUACCGGAUAGGACGAUGGUUUGGAUGCCAUUGUGGAAAGUUUUUCGGUGUGGGAUGAGCUAGCGGGCUAUCGGCUGGUUGGGGGGGUAAUGGCCUACCAAGGCGUCGACGGGUAGCCGGCCUUGGAGGGGGUACGGCGUCAUUGCGCCUGAGGGAGGGCGCAGUCGGCAACGUUGGGCAGCGGUGGGGAGUAUUGCCCAAUGGUGCCGCGUGUGUGGAGGCGGCCCCGGGUGGGGAAUGACGGCUAACGUGUUGGAAAGGCCUGUAGCUUGAGACCAAGCUGAAUUGACGUUACCAACAGAAGAAGCACCGGCUAACUUCGUG